rnacentral:rRNA from 1 species
GAUGAACGCUGGCGGCGUGCCUAAUACAUGCAAGUCGAGCGAACGGACGAGAAGCUUGCGUCUCUGAUGUUAGCGGCGGACGGGUGAGUAACACGUGGAUAACCUACCUAUAAGACUGGGAUAACUUCGGGAAACCGUAGCUAAUACCGGAUAAUAUUUUGAACCGCAUGGUUCAAAAGUGAAAGACGGUCUUGCUGUCACUUAUAGAUGGAUCCGCGCUGCAUUAGCUAGUUGGUAAGGUAACGGCUUACCAAGGCAACGAUGCAUAGCCGACCUGAGAGGGUGAUAGGCCACACUGGAACGGCGCCGCGGUCCAUGCUCCUACGGGAGGCAGCAGUAGGGAAUCUUCCGCAGUGGGCGAAAGCCUGACGGAGCAGCGCCGCGUGAGUGAUGAAGGUCUUCGGAUCGUAAAACUCUGUUAUUAGGGAAGAACAUAUGUGUAAGUAACUGUGCACAUCUUGACGGUACCUAAUCAGAAAGCCCCGGCUAACUACGUG